UCACUCCUCCAUCUGGAAAGCCGGGCUGCCAA
rnacentral:piRNA from 1 species